CUCAUCCGCCAUUUUCACUAAGCACCUGAGAGGAAAUACUGCGCUCGAAGACUCGCUGAUAUUUGACAGAAAACGGCCAAGAUAACAAGAAACCCAUCUUUUCACACAUGCUUAAGAGUUUCCAAAUGUUGCUCUUCAAGCAGACGGCUUCGUCCGAGCAACUCGCCACCCUACAAACAAACACCCUCCCCCAUGCUGAACUGGAUCUAAACCGCAUCCUCCUGCGCAUGCGCAGUCUGUGCUAUAAAACCAACCACUUGCAGUUGAAGAGCUAUGCAACGCAGAGUGGAGAAACAGCAAGACAAAGCAGAAAACUGCGAUGUGACGCGCCGAUCAUCGAAUUUGCACAGUUGAAAGGAAAACGAAACUAUAGAUAGUUAAAUCGAGCUGAUUACAUUGCACAGGAUUGCCUACGCCAGUCAAAUCAUCGUCAGGUUUUAACUUUCGGGACACUGAGAUUGUAGAUGGAUAUUAAUACGGCAACAUUCAACCAGUUCUGGAGCUAGGGUAUUAUUUCAGUGUCGAUAUCGUUCAUUUUGUUAUGCUUUCAAAAUGGCGAUUUUCUCCGCUCUUCCCCCUCCCCGGCCUUCCUGAGUAGAUGAAUGACAUUGCCCUUGACCAAUAAUACGCUCAUUGUUCUGUUUUCUCGGCGCUGAUUGGCUACCGAUGACAUCAUCUGAAUUCCAUAUGUGGGCGGGCGCUGAGCUACGAGGGGAGAGCGGCGCACCCGGAGAUCCGACCGUGUUUGUGGACGACAGUAGGGUGCCAUUAACUCCAAAUCUCAUUAACUAUUUGAUUUACUUAAAUCUCAAUGGAUCUCUGAAACACGGCGUUUUAGAAGAGCCCUUCCACGGAGUUGGCAACACACAUUAUUCGUUCGUUUCGCGUAACAAAUAUCGCAAGAAGAUGGCGUCCUCGCUCGCAGCACUGCACAAAGCCCAAGACUGGGCGGGGUCACGGUAUUUUCCAGAAAAUAUCAACUGGAUUGAGCUCCUUAGGAGUACGUCAUCAGCCUUGUGUUUUAAAAUACUCUCUCUGGCGAAUAAAAACCGUAAAUGUCAAGUAUUUAUUUGGGGGGGUUCGUUUUAAAGAACCGAUUAUAAACGAUUCAGUGAUUCUUUUUAUUUUGCGUCAUGACGUAAUUACGUUGUCCCUGACAGCAUGAUGUGACUUUUUUUUUUAAAAAUCUAAAUUAAAACAUCAAAUGCUUAUUGCCGUUUAUUACGUGAUUUACCAAUUAAAAGUAACAUUUUCUAACAAUUUUGUGUUUGUGUAAUAUCGUGAUUGAUUGUUGCCAUGUCAACCAUUCGGAUAUCACACUGUUGGCUGGCAUUGCAUUUUAAAUCCUCAUAUCCUAUGUUUGUUUUGUUUUUUGGAAAUUUACGAGAUUGUAAAAGCGCAUCUGCUGCUGUUAUGCGUUUAUAAUAAGUCAGGACACCGUCGGUUACGUCACAAUAACAGCCGCAUAUGAGCUGCAACAAAAGAUUUGAGCUGAAGGAGCGCAUUUCCUGUUUUGGCGCUGCUCAGGAAACGAAUCGUGUGCAGAAAACACCCCGGCCGAGGUGUGGGAUGCCGUAGAGUGUCUGCAGAAGUUAUCUGUUUCUUGCGUUCGUUAAGAUUGAUGUUAGUUUGGUAAUGUCGUGGCUUUGAGCUGCUCGCUUUUUUUUUUUAUUGAUUGCGUUUCCACAGCCGCCAUGUUGUCGAUCCCACGCCUCCUCUGCGCUGCUCUGGGGAUGGUGAUUAGUAAAUGGCGUAUUGGAGCAUUUUCUAUACUGCUUAGUGAGUAGUGGCUUUUGUAUAUUGGCUCCCUCAAGAAAGUUAAGAUCAAAUAUAAAAUGAGUUUCACUGCAAUUGCGUUAUUUUAACCUACUAUUGUUUUUGUACAUUACAUGAUCUGGACACAAGAGGGAUAAAAGUGCCACAAAUUGUGUUAUAAGUAUAUACUACAAACAGCUAUACACUGAAUACCAUGUCUUACAAACUGUCAAACUUCUUAGUCCAGGACAUGUGCAUAUUGUCCAACUUAGCAAAACAUCUCGCAACUUUAAAAUUAAAUAUAAUUAUUAUGGUUUUCAAUUAAGGGUCUGAGUCCCACAAGGGAUGCUUCCAAGAUGGCUUAUAUAGUUUUAAAGUUAUACCCCCUGGUUUCACAGACGAGGCUUAAGCUAGUCCUAGACUAAAAUGCAUGUUUGAGCUGUUUUAACUGAAAGCAUCUCAUACUAACGUAUCUUAAAAUAUAUCAGUGCCAUUGAUUUGUCUCAAGAGGCACACCAGUAAUGUUAUUCUUCUAGGGAAUGUUUAUAAAAAGCUACUUAAAUGCCCUAAUUAAACUAAAGAACUAAGCCUAACCCUGGCUUAGUCUAAGCUGUGUCUGUGAAACCAGGCCAUAUUGAUAUAACCAAACUUAACCCUAUAAAACUAUUCUGUAUCAUAUUUGAUACAUGCCUUUAAAUGAUAGACAUGAUCAAAACUUUGCCUUUUGUACUCAAUCUUCUACAUGCCAUCUGCUGUCUAAUUGAUAGUUUACACUUUUUUUCUUUUUUUAGCAAGUAAAAGGCCUUUUAGUAUAAAUAAACACGUCUUUUUUGCUGUUUAAUGAUUUUCAUAAAGUAAACUAAUUGCUUUUAUCAUUAGUAAUAUUUCAAGAAGAGCAUUUACUGGAUUGAAGCAACUUAAGUUAUCUAUAGGUGACAAUUAUUUUUAUUUAUUUAGAAAAAAUCAUGUUGGUGGUAAUGAUUUUACAACCUACUUAGGCUUACAAUGCUUUUAGGAAAUGCAGCCCUGGACAAUAGGCGGCCUUGUUGAAAUCCACAGAGGAUGUUUUAUUAAGUUAAUAAUUUUAAGUUUUAUUGCUGUUUCUGCCAAUAAAGUACUGUUUCACUUGAAUUA